rnacentral:rRNA from 1 species
UACGGAGGGUGCAAGCGUUAUCCGGAUUUACUGGGUUUAAAGGGUGCGUAGGUGGGCAGUUAAGUCAGUGGUGAAAUCUCCGAGCUUAACUCGGAAACUGCCGUUGAUACUAUCUGUCUUGAAUAUUGUGGAGGUGAGCGGAAUAUGUCAUGUAGCGGUGAAAUGCUUAGAUAUGACAUAGAACACCAAUUGCGAAGGCAGCUCACUACACAAUCAUUGACUCUGAGGCACGAAAGCGUGGGGAUCAAACAGG